rnacentral:rRNA from 1 species
GACGAACGCUGGCGGCGUGCCUAAUACAUGCAAGUAGAACGCUGAAGGAGGAGCUUGCUCUUCUGGAUGAGUUGCGAACGGGUGAGUAACGCGUAGGUAACCUGCCUGGUAGCGGGGGAUAACUAUUGGAAACGGUAGCUAAUACCGCAUAAGAGUAGAUGUUGCAUGACAUUUGCUUAAAAGGUGCAAUUGCAUCACUACCAGAUGGACCUGCGUUGUAUUAGCUAGUUGGUGGGGUAACGGCUCACCAAGGCGACGAUACAUAGCCGACCUGAGAGGGUGAUCGGCCACACUGGGACUGAGACACGGCCCAGACUCCUACGGGAGGCAGCAGUAGGGAAUCUUCGGCAAUGGACGGAAGUCUGACCGAGCAACGCCGCGUGAGUGAAGAAGGUUUUCGGAUCGUAAAGCUCUGUUGUAAGAGAAGAACGAGUGUGAGAGUGGAAAGUUCACACUGUGA